AGACAUAACUGAACUUGAUGUCUAGCUAUAUAUGCUUAGGCCAAGUUCCUGUCACAUUAGGUCGAUCGGUACCUCAAGUUAAAAGCUAAAUAAGAAUUGAAAAUUCAAUUUGAGAUUGGUAAUUAACAUCAGUUCCUAAACUGUCUAGGUCACACCCAGCAAGGGUAAUCCUGGGCCAUUAGCUCAGGUGGUUAGAGCGCACCCCUGAUAAGGGUGAGGUCCCUGGUUCAAGUCCAGGAUGGCCCAUUCGGUGUUGGGGGUAUAGCUCAGUUGGUAGAGCGCCUGCUUUGCAAGCAGGAUAUCAGCGGUUCGAGUCCGCUUACCUCCACUGAUCUACCUUCUGAUAACGAACUCGAGGGAGAUUAGCUUUGUUUAAUGUGACUUAGAUUUUGGCUGGCUGUUUGAACCUAGCUUCUUAUCAUUCCCAUAUAAAAAUCAUUUUUUUAUAUAGAGGUUGAUAUGACGCUGGGCUCUCUGAAGUUCGAAAGGAUUUCGGAUCAGUUCAGUAGAACCUUGACAACUGCAUAGGUAAGUCUGGAAAGAAUAAAGCAUCUCAUGGAGGCAUUAUUCUUUGAGUACAGAGCUAAUCUGUAUUAUCUGAAUAAUGUUUAAUUCUUGAGUAAGAGCCGAGACUCUAUAUGGCUCUUUAGUAAUGCCUUUUUGGCAGAAUAAAGUUUGAUUACUGAUUAAAUUAAUUUUUGAAUUCAGUAAUUAAAGAUGUAGCAACAUCUAGCGAUAUAGAGAUUAAAU
rnacentral:tRNA from 1 species